AUUGAACGCUGGCGGCAGGCCUAACACAUGCAAGUCGAGCGAGCGGCGGACGGGUGAGUAAUGUCUGGGAAACUGCCUGAUGGAGGGGGAUAACUACUGGAAACGGUAGCUAAUACCGCAUGCCAUCAGCUGUGCCCAGAUUGGAUUAGCUAGUAGGUGGGGUAACGGCUAACCUAGGCGACGAUCCCUAGCUGGGCUGAGAGGAUGACCAGCCACACUGGAACUGAGACAUGGUCCAGAAUUCUACGGGAGGCAGCAGUUGGGAAUAGUGCACAAUGGGCGUAAGCCUGAUGCAGCCAUGCCGCGUGUGUGAAGAAGGCCUUCGGGUUGUAAAGCACUUCCAGCGGGGAGGCGUUACCCGAAGAAGAAGCACCGGCUAACUCCGUGCCAGCAGCCGCGGUAAUUC
rnacentral:rRNA from 1 species